UACGUAGGGGGCUAGCGUUGUCCGGAAUCAUUGGGCGUAAAGCGCGUGUAGGCGGUCCGGUAAGUCCGCUGUGAAAGUCGGGGGCUCAACCCUCGAAUGCCGGUGGAUACUGUCGGGCUAGAGUGCGGAAGAGGCGAGUGGAAUUCCUGGUGUAGCGGUGAAAUGCGCAGAUAUCAGGAGGAACACCAAUUGCGAAGGCAGCUCGCUGGGACGUAACUGACGCUGAGGAGCGAAAAGCAUGGGGAGCGAACAGG
rnacentral:rRNA from 1 species